GACACCCAUCAUGUAAGAUCACAUUUCCAUUCAAAUUUAACCAAAAGAAAACAUUUCUUUAUUUUUUAAAAAAGAAAAUAUUUUGUGAAGCAAGGAAAAAGCUGCUCCUCCUCCACAUGCCUUGAAUUUUCUACUCAAAUUUUCUUCUCUCUUUAUUUUCUCGCUACCCAAACGCUCCCUGUCUUUCACCGCCUUCUACAACGGUGCCCUACACAGUGCGCAGCAGUUAGCUGCUUCUUUUGAGCUGUCGUUAAUAUUUUUGAAUAAUUUGAAGCGCAAAUGCUGGGUUUUGCUUUCUUAGGAUUUUGAAGAUCAGAAUGGGAUCAAGGAUUUGGUGAAUUGAUUCAAUUGCUGAACCAUUUUAGUUUGGGUAUAAGAUUGAUAAAUAUCUACUAUUGAAGUCGUCUACGGAUUUGCGUUACUCGAAAGUUUUUUUGCCAAGUUGUCAAUGGUGACUAAAUAUUAAACAGCACUAGGGUCUGUUUCUACAAUUAUGGUCCCCUCCAUUACGCUAAUCAAAUAAGUUGCCAAGUGGGGUCUAGCGAUAAUGCUUGGUAGGGGACUGACUUUGUGAAAACAGAAAACUCAGCUUUUUUGCUUUAUCUUUGUAUAAUAGCGUCUGUGGGAACUCAAUCAUCAGAAUCUGAGAAAAUGUCACAGAAGUCCCAUUCACUGCCUUCCCUUGAAUCGAUCAAAUCAUUGCCUGUUGAUUUUAGGUUGACUGGCUCUCUGUCACUUGAUCAGUUAGAAAAAUCAGAUGAUGUGAAUGCAAAAAAUAGUGAUGCAAUCUGUUCAACUAUUCCCGAAAAUGAUAGUUUAGGUAAUGGUGUGGUUGAUGGAGUCCCAGAUAUCAAUGGGAAUGAUGUCAAUGAGGAUUCACCAUACAGUGGGAAUAUCAUCGCAGUUGAAGGUAGGCCCUCUUCAGGUGAUGGGGACUUGGAUAUUGUCACUUCAGUUUCACCUUCACCUUCGAUAUCCAGAUCUCAUACUGAACAGAGGUGGGGUGACACUGCCUCCUAUGCUGCAAAAAAGAAACUUCAAUCUUGGUUCCAACUUCCAAAUGGCUACUGGCAGCUGGGAAAAAUUAUAUCCACUUCAGGGACUGAAUCUGUUAUUUCACUGUCUGAUGGCAAAGUUUUAAAGGUGAAAUUUGAAAGUCUAGUGCCAGCGAAUCCUGAUAUCCUUGAUGGUGUAGAUGAUCUGAUGCAACUUAGUUACUUAAAUGAGCCGUCAGUGUUGUACAAUCUUCAAUAUAGAUACAACCAAGACAUGAUUUAUACAAAAGCAGGGCCUGUGUUGGUUGCCAUCAAUCCCUUUAAGGAAGUUCCUUUAUAUGGCAAUGAUUAUAUUGAAGCAUAUAAGAAUAAAUCUAUUGAGAGCCCACAUGUGUACGCCAUUACAGACACUGCCAUCAGGGAAAUGAUACGAGAUGAAGUAAAUCAAUCUAUCAUUAUAAGUGGUGAAAGUGGGGCAGGGAAAACUGAGACGGCAAAGAUAGCAAUGCAAUACUUGGCUGCCCUUGGUGGUGGUAGUGGGAUAGAGUAUGAAAUAUUGAAAACUAAUCCUAUUUUGGAAGCCUUUGGGAAUGCUAAGACGUUGAGGAAUGACAACUCAAGUCGCUUCGGAAAACUGAUUGAAAUCCAUUUCAGUGAAACUGGAAAAAUAUCUGGUGCCAAAAUUCAAACUUUUUUACUUGAAAAGUCUAGAGUGGUCCAAUGCAUGGAAGGAGAAAGGUCAUAUCACAUAUUUUAUCAACUUUGUGCCGGGGCUCCACCUAUGCUUAGAGAAAAGAUAAACUUGAAGAGUGCAAGUGAGUAUAAAUAUUUGGGGCAGAGUAAUUGCUACUCAAUUAAUGGGGUUGAUGAUGCUGAACGCUUUCGUGUUGUCACGGAAGCUUUGGAUAUUGUUCAUGUCAGCAAGGAAGACCAAGACAGUGUAUUUGCAAUGCUUGCAGCUGUAUUAUGGUUGGGAAACAUCUCAUUCAUCGUUGUUGAUAAUGAAAAUCAUGUUGAACCUUUGACUGAUGAAGGUUUAACCACUGUUGCCAAAUUGAUUGGAUGUGAUGUUGGGGAGCUUAAGUUAGCUUUAUCAACUCGCAAAAUGAGAGUUGGCAAUGAUAAUAUCAUCCAAAAGCUAACUUUAUCACAGGCAAUUGACACAAGAGAUGCAUUGGCAAAGUCAAUCUAUGCUUGUUUAUUUGAGUGGUUGGUUGAACAGAUUAACAAAUCUCUUGCGGUUGGCAAAAGGCGAACAGGAAGAUCUAUCAGCAUUCUUGAUAUUUAUGGAUUUGAAUCAUUUGAAAGGAACAGUUUUGAGCAAUUUUGUAUAAACUAUGCAAAUGAGAGGUUGCAGCAACACUUUAACCGUCAUUUAUUCAAGUUAGAGCAGGAGGAAUAUAUUCAGGAUGGAAUUGACUGGGCAAAAGUUGAUUUUGAAGACAAUCAAGAUUGUCUCAAUCUCUUUGAAAAGAAACCUUUGGGGUUAUUAUCUUUGUUAGAUGAGGAGUCCACUUUUCCAAAUGGCACGGAUUUGACAUUCGCCAACAAGUUGAAGCAGCAUUUACAUAGCAAUUCAUGUUUCAGAGGGGACCGAGGCAAAGCCUUCACGGUGUGCCAUUAUGCAGGGGAGGUUACAUAUGAUACAACAGGAUUUUUGGAGAAGAAUAGGGACUUAUUACACUUGGAUUCCAUUCAACUUUUGUCUUCAUGCUCACGCCAUCUUCCUCGGAUAUUUGCCUCCAGUAUGCUUACUCAGUCAGAGAAGCCUGUGGUUGGUCCUUUAUAUAAAGCAGGUGGGGCAGAUUCUCAAAAGCUGAGUGUUGCUACAAAAUUCAAGGGUCAACUUUUUCAAUUGAUGCAGCGGCUAGAGAAUACCACUCCGCAUUUCAUACGCUGUAUCAAGGCCAAUAACUCUCAGUCUCCUGGGUCAUAUGAGCAAGGGCUAGUUUUGCAGCAGCUGCGAUGUUGUGGAGUCCUAGAGGUAGUUCGCAUAUCGAGGUCUGGGUUUCCUACCAGAAUGUCACACCAGAAAUUUGCCAAAAGAUAUGGUUUCCUUCUCCUGGAAAGUGUUGCAUCUCAGGAUCCACUCAGUGUUUCAGUUGCAAUUCUUCACCAGUUCAAUAUAUUGCCCGAGAUGUAUCAAGUUGGCUAUACAAAAUUGUUUUUCCGAACUGGACAGAUUGGUGUGCUUGAGGAUACAAGGAACCGUACCCUUCACAGUAUUUUACGUGUUCAAAGCUGUUUCAGAGGGCUCCAAGCUCGCCGUUACCUUAGAGAGCUUAAGAGAGGAAUUGCUACUCUUCAGUCACUUGUUCGCGGAGAGAAAAUCAGAAGGGAAUAUGCAGUCAUGCUACAGAGACAUAGAGCUGCUGUUGUUAUACAAAGGCGAAUAAAAACCACUCUUUCUCAGAAAAAAUACGAGGAAAUCCAUGCAGCAUCAAUUAUAAUACAAUCAGUUGUUCGUGGAUUCCUGGUUAGAAGAUGCUCAGGCAAUAUAGGAUUAUUGACGUCUGGCACUAAGGGGAAUGAGUCGGACGAGGUGGUGGUGAAAGCAUCAUUUCUUGCUGAGUUACAGCGACGAGUUCUGAAAGCUGAGGCUGGGCUCCGAGAGAAAGAAGAGGAGAAUGAUAUCCUCCAUCAACGGCUCCAACAAUACGAGAGUCGUUGGUCGGAAUAUGAAUUGAAAAUGAAGUCCAUGGAAGAAGUGUGGCAAAAACAGAUGAGAUCUCUGCAAUCCAGUCUCUCAAUUGCAAAGAAGAGCCUUGCAAUUGAUGAUUCUGAGAGAAACUCGGAUGCAUCUGUGAACGCAAGCGACGAAAGGGACUUCAGCUGGGAUACUGCAAGUAACUACAGGGGUCAAGAAAGCAAUGGUCAUAGCGCAAGACCAAUGAGUGCAGGGUUGAGUGUGAUAAGCAGGUUGGCUGAAGAAUUUGAGCAGAGAACACAAGUGUUCGGUGAUGAUGCCAAGUUCUUGGUGGAAGUAAAAUCGGGUCAGGUAGAAGCGAGUUUGAAUCCAGACCGAGAACUGAGAAGGUUGAAGCAGAUGUUUGAAUCUUGGAAGAAGGAUUACGGAUCGAGAUUACGGGAAACAAAGGUGAUUCUGAAUAAACUUGGAAAUGAAGAAGGUGCGCUUGACAGGGUGAAAAAGAAGUGGUGGGGAAGAAGGAACAGUACAAGAUAUAAUUAAAUUAUAAUUGAAAUAGAGUUGCUGCUUUGUUUGAUUGGUUGGUUGUUAGCUCUGUGUUUGAAAAUCAGAAAAAUUUGUAUUGCGGAGAAAACUUGCGAGUUUUGUAUGCAAGCCAUGGGCAAUUGCUAAAGCACAGUCUGGUGGUCAUGAAAAGGUGGCUUAAGGCUUCGUUUGUUUGCCAAAAGUACUAGUUUUGCAACGUCAGUUAGAUGAUCUGUAUGAGCUGAUGCUGUUGGUCCUUAAAACUCCAAGGAAGAGCUGGUGGAGGUGGUGGAAGCGAUGGUAUGGGAGCACGGCGUGGGCGCUGUGUAGACUAUGCUACUGUUUGGGUCCACCGUCUGGGGGGAGGAAGUUGCCUAAUAAUCAUUAGGUCUAUGCUUUGGAGCCAUUCCUGUAACCUUACAAAAAGAAAAAUACAUAAAAUAAAAUAAAACGGAUGAAGAUAUAACAAAGUUUAAAAAAAACUAGAAGAUAUGACGAGCCAAACUGAAGCUACAAAACUUGAGAAUAAUGCAAUUCCUAUUACCCAAACCACUACUUUGCAAAAUCUAGUUAAACAAAAAUAGGGUCCAUUAAUAUAUUGAUUAAAUUGUAAAUUUUCGGUCCAUCUAUAUAUAAUACCUGCUCAAAAGGUAGACUUUCAAACUCCACAUAACAAGGAGAUCAUCAACUAAAAUUAUCCUCAUCAAAUCAAAACAACCAAAUCAAAUGUAUUAAAAAGAAAAGAGAGGUACCUGGGACUGUGUAAUGACUGCAACCCAAAAAAAGAUUGAAAAGUGGAGAUAAGAAAGAAAAGGGCUAAUGGGCGUUGAUGUGGUGGCAGACGCUGGUGAAAGGAGAGGGAAAAGGGGAAGCUCGACAUUGCUGGGAGGCAAAAUAAUAAUGAGUAACACUGAUUGGAGCUGGUGGUUGCGUAGGUUUUGGUCCACACUAGAGAUGGCAAAUUCUGGACGAUUGUGUGGUUGCUUCAGACAUGUGGGCAUUGUGGCUAAAAGUCAAAGACACGGCAGGUUGCAUCGGUAAAUAAGCUUAACUCUUAGACACUCUUGAUUAUUUUUUAAGGCUCUACAGAUAAAAUUAUCGUUUUCAAUCCUAUUUGUAUAAUAUUUAAUUUUUUAUUUAAUCUUAAAGUGUUUCUCUCAA